rnacentral:rRNA from 1 species
GUGCCAGCCGCCGCGGUAAUACCAGCCCCGCGAGUGGUCAGGACGAUUACUGGGCCUAAAGCGCCCGUAGCCGGUCUAGCAAGUCCUCUCUGAAAGCUCUGGGCCUAACCCGGAGAGCGGAGAGGAUACUGCUAGGCUAGGGGGCGGGAAAGGCCGGGGGUACUCCUAGGGUAGGGGCGAAAUCCGAUAAUCCCUGGGGGACCACCAGUGGCGAAGGCGCCCGGCUGGAACGCGCCCGACGGUGAGGGGCGAAAGCCGGGGGAGCGAACCGGAUUAGAUACCCGGGUAGUCCCGGCUGUAAACUAUGCGGGCCAGGUGUCGGGCGGGCGUUAGAGCCCGCCCGGUGCCGCAGGGAAGCCGUUAAGCCCGCCGCCUGGGGAGUACGGCCGCAAGGCUGAAACUUAAAGGAAUUGGCGGGGGGGCACACAAGGGGUGGAGCUGCGGCUCAAUUGGAGUCAACGCCGGGAACCUCUACCGGGGGCGACAGCAGGAUGACGGCCAGGCUAACGACCUUGCCCGACGCGCUGAGGGGAGGUGCAUGGCCGUCGCCAGCUCGUGCUGUGAAGUGUCCUGUUAAGUCAGGCAACGAGCGAGACCC